rnacentral:rRNA from 1 species
GAUGAACGCUGGCGGCGUGCUUAACACAUGCAAGUCGAACGAGAAGUGAAGACGGAACCCUUCGGGCGGAAGGCUUUAUUUCGAGUGGCGGACGGGUGAGUAACGCGUGGGUAACCUGCCUCAUACAGGGGGAUAACAGUUGGAAACGACUGUUAAUACCGCAUAAGACCACAGCACCGCAUGGUGCGGGGGUAAAAACUCCGGUGGUAUGAGAUGGACCCGCGUUCGAUUAGCCAGUUGGCGGGGUAACGGCCCACCAAAGCGACGAUCGAUAGCCGAUCUGAGAGGAUGACCGGCCACAUUGGGACUGAGACACGGCCCAAACUCCUACGGGAGGCAGCAGUGGGGAAUAUUGCACAAUGGGGGAAACCCUGAUGCAGCGACGCCGCGUGAGUGAAGAAGUAUUUCGGGAUGUAAAGCUCUAUCAGCAGGGAAGAAAAUGACGGUACCUGAGGAAGAAGCCCCGGCUAACUACGUG